GUUGAACGCUGGCGGCAGGCUUAACACAUGCAAGUCGAGCGGAGAUGAGGUGCUUGCACCUUAUCUUAGCGGCGGACGGGUGAGUAAUGCUUAGGAAUCUGCCUAUUAGUGGGGGACAACAUUCCGAAAGGAAUGCUAAUACCGCAUACGUCCUACGGGAGAAAGCAGGGGAUCUUCGGACCUUGCGCUAAUAGAUGAGCCUAAGUCGGAUUAGCUAGUUGGUGGGGUAAAGGCCUACCAAGGCGACGAUCUGUAGCGGGUCUGAGAGGAUGAUCCGCCACACUGGGACUGAGACACGGCCCAGACUCCUACGGGAGGCAGCAGUGGGGAAUAUUGGACAAUGGGGGGAACCCUGAUCUAGCCAUGCCGCGUGUGUGAAGAAGGCCUUAUGGUUGUAAAGCACUUUAAGCGAGGAGGAGGCUACUGAGACUAAUACUCUUGGAUAGUGGACGUUACUCGCAGAAUAAGCACCGGCUAACUCUGUGCCAGCAGCCGCCGUAACAC
rnacentral:rRNA from 1 species